rnacentral:rRNA from 1 species
CCUACGGGAGGCAGCAGUAAGGAAUCUUCCACAAUGGACGAAAGUCUGAUGGAGCAACGCCGCGUGCAGGAUGAAGGCUUUCGGGUCGUAAACUGCUUUUAUAUGGGAAGAUUAUGACGGUACCAUAUGAAUAAGGACCGGCUAACUACGUGCCAGCAGCCGCGGUAAUACGUAGGGUCCAAGCGAUAUCCGGAAUUACUGGGCGUAAAGCGUGUGUAGGUGGAUUAAUAAGUGUGAUGCGAAAUCCGGCGGCUCAACCGUUUGGACUGUGUCGCAUACUGUUAGUCUAGAGGACGGCAGAGGUAAGUGGAAUUACGGGUGUAGCAGUGAAAUGCGUAGAUAUCCGUAGGAACACCAAUGGCGAAGGCAGCUUACUGGGCCACACCUGACACUGAGACACGAAAGCGUGGGGAGCGAACAGGAUUAGAUACCCUGGUAGUCCACGCCGUAAACGAUGCAUACUAUUAGUAUGGGGUAUCGACCCCCUGUGCUGAGAAGCUAACGCGAUAAGUAUGCCGCCUGGGGAGGUACGAGCGCAAGCUUAAAACUACAAAUAGAGUAGAGCGNGAGACGNGCGACGACGACGACGAGGGAGGAGG